rnacentral:tRNA from 1 species
UGGGAUAUAGCUCAGUGGUAGAGAGCUUGCCUAGCAUGCAUGAGGUCCUAGGUUCAAGCCCUAGUAACUAAC